AGCAAAAUCGAAUACCAGUCACCUAGAUAAAUCAAACUCUCCUUUGUAGUGCCAGAAGGAACAUGGUGGGAGAGUGUGUAUCACUCAUUUCUCAGUAUCUUAUCUACAUCUACACCCCAAUAGUUUUCUUGUUUAACUUGACAUUCAAUCUAGCCACCAUGGGGAUGGACCUUAUCUUCUUCAGGGAUACUCCACCAGACCCUGGCCGUCUUUCACUGUGACCAGGGUGACAUUUAUUGUUAGACCUGGGAGAUCUUAGAGCUCUUGGAACAUAGGGAGGUGCAAAGGUCCAUAGGAAGCUGAAGGAUGCCCAAAUGUUCCACCUGUAAUUAUCAUUUCCAGUGUGCCAUUCCACUCAGACUGGACAAUAGCUACCUGCUAUGCCAUGAAGUUCUAUCCCAAUCAUUUGUCUAUCACCUGGUUGAUGAAUGGGAUCAUUGUUGAGGGAGAAAAGUCAUCUGUACCCACUAAGAACAAAGAUGGUACAUAAAGCCUUGAGUGGUCCCUCAUGGACCCCAUGUUUGUGCAAAAAGAAGACAUUAUCUUCACCUGUCAGGUGUCUCAUGAUUCCCAGCCUUUGAUCAAUGAGACACCGAGAACUUCAGCUUCUCCCAAGGAUGGGGCAGAACCAGAUGCAGGCUCAUCACUUUCUGCACAGCUCUUUGUGAUUUUCCUCCUUGGACUCAAGGUUCUGUUAAUACUCAAUAUCAUCCUAUUCUUUGCCUACAGAAAGAAAACAACAGG